rnacentral:misc_RNA from 1 species
CUGACAUGUGACAUGAGGAGUCCGGCAUUACCUGUUACCUCGUCGACGACGACAGGGUUCUCACAGAGCCAAGAGGAUCAGGUACACAGCGCGCUCUCGGGGAGAGGCAUUUCGCCGAACGCCUUCGGCUCGUCCAGUGUGCCCGACGCGCCCGACGUCAGUCACGCCGGGUGCAGCGUGCCCGGCAUCGCCCACGGCACCAGAUCCACCGGCUUCAACCAUCGAUAG